UGUCCUAGUUUUCUCUCUGGUCUUAUCGACACCAAACCGAGAAGAUAAAUCGUUAUUCUUCUUCCUUCUUCUCUCUUCUUUUCUUCCUUCUUCUCUCUUCUCUUUCCUUCUUCUCCUGUUCUUAUACUUCUGUGGGUUUGAGAGAAUCAAAUGGAAGUUCUGCGUUCGGCGGAAGGUGGAGAAGAUAUUUUAGUGGUUGGUGAUGAUGGUGAUGGUGUUUGUUCUUGAUUCAAAUUCGAAUAUGAGAUGAAUUAGAAGUUAGGGUUUCUCUGUAAAUCAAAGAAAUCGAUGAUGACGAUGAAGAAUUUGGUCGUGGUGGUGUUUCUAAUAUGAGUAGUAAAUAUGAAUCGAAAAGAUACAGUGAUAGAAGAAUUGAAAUUCAAUUGAGGAGUUAGGGUUUCUGCUGAUGAAGUUAAAAUUCAAUUUGGUGAUGAUUAGGAAGAAAUUGAAGAAUGGGUUUUGAAGAUUGUGAGAUGAAUAAGAAGUUAACGAUGUUAGUUUGAAGAUUUAGUACUGAGAAGGUAAGGUUUGAGAAAUUAGAGUUUCAUACUGAUUCUGAGGAGUGGAAAUAGAAGGUUUAUUGAGUUACAAAUAGAUGAAGAACAAAAGAACUAUUGUUUAAUUAAGGUUGUGGAGCUGUUUUGGUGGUGAAUUGAAGAAUUGGGGUUCGAUUCUAUUUUAGUGAAGAUUAUUGAGAAUUGGCAGUAAUGAUGAAGUUUGUUGAGUAAUGGUGAAGAUUCAAAGAAAAAGAUUAAUGAGUUUGUAUGAGGAAAUUGAUAUGAUUUCUAAGUCAGGACAGAGUAAAGAGAAAUCUAAUUCAAUUGCUUGAGUUGGAUUGGUUUGAGAUGUUGUUUGAAUGAAGAUUACACAUAGUGGUGGUGUUAUUGUUGCUGCUGUGUGACGGGUUGAAGAUGUAGUAUUAGUCUGUGAUAAGAGGAAUUGGAUUGCAGGUGAAGUCUGUGGUGUUAUGUUGAGUUGCAGUUGAUGAAUUAAAUGGAUGUGUGGUAUGUGAGCUUAUAUUUGUGAUUGAAUUAGUGAUCAUAGUGCUUGGAGGAGGCCUUAGAUAUGAUGAUAGAGUUCAACUUGGUGGUGUUGUUGGAUGCAGGGAGAAGGCUUGAGUUGGAUGUUUUGUCAUGAGAAUAUAUUGAUGCUGUGAGUGAUGAUAUGGGUUUAGUUACGGAGGUUUGUAUUAGAUUUUAGUGAAACUAAAAAAGAGAAUGGUGUUGCGUUGUAUGUCUGAGAAGAUAGAGGUAAUGUAAUAAAGAUUGAAGCUAUAGUUAUGAAUUGGGUUUGUGUCUGUAUUACCAAGGGAAUUGAUAUAGAUUGAGGUAAUACAGGGUUUGAGAUGUGAGAACUAGUAUUGGUUUGUAUUGCAAGAAGUGCAAGUGGGAAUGAAUAGAAAUGGUUUGUUGGAGGCUGCUGUGGUAAACAAGGUGGCUGGGGUUAUCUUAAUGAUAGUUGUUAUGUGUGUCUCAGAUUGGAGAAAAUGGUAUGUACUGGUGUUGUAGAUUGUUGUGGUGAUGUUGUUGUUGAAUCUGGUAAAGACAUGGCAGGUGGUAACAUUGAAGGGUAACCGAAGUUUAUAUGUGACACACGAGUGGAGUCUGGUAAUAUUGCUGCUGCUGUGGAAGCUGUUGGGAAUGCUGUGUUUGUAAUGGUUAGUUGUAGUUUUGGUGUUUCUGAAGUUCAGUUUGUGAAGAAUGAUGAUAAAGAAUUGUAGAUAAUAGUUGUUGUGAAAACUUGGAAAAGCUGCAUUUGCAGUUAGUUAUUAACAACGAUCGAUUCAAAGGACGAACCAGUGGAUCGUGGAUCUCGAGGUAGGCGUGGCCUGUCAUCAAAAGAGAGACAGAUCAGAGUUGCGUAGCGAAAGCUUCGAGGAGUUGAGUCCAUUAGUUGGUUAACUUCUGAUAUGUUUAUUAUGUUGUAUAUUCUAUUUGUAAACCGAAUGACUAUUGUAUAUGUAUCAUUUGUGAGAAGUUAUUGUAUAUAAAUAUUUCUGAGCGGGGCUAGUUUGGGUUAAGUUUUGUAGCAGAUUUCUUAAUUGAAUGUUUAAAUAAACGAUUUAGAUUCUUAGUGCCU